UACGUAGGGGGCUAGCGUUGUCCGGAUUUAUUGGGCGUAAAGAGCGUGUAGGCGGCCAGGUAGGUCUGCUGUGAAAACUCGAGGCUCAACCUCGAGACGUCGGCGGAAACCAUCUGGCUAGAGUCCGGAAGAGGAGAGUGGAAUUCCUGGUGUAGAGGUGAAAUUCGUAGAUAUUCGCAAGAACACCAGUGGCGAAGGCGGCUCACUGGCCCGAUACUGACGCUGAGGCACGAAAGCGUGGGGAGCAAAGCAGG
rnacentral:rRNA from 1 species